ACGGGUGCGUAACGCGUGGGAAUCUGCCCUUGGGUUCGGAAUAACAGUUAGAAAUGACUGCUAAUACCGGAUGAUGUCUUCGGACCAAAGAUUUAUCGCCCAAGGAUGAGCCCGCGUAAGAUUAGCUAGUUGGUGGGGUAAUGGCCCACCAAGGCGACGAUCUUUAGCUGGUCUGAGAGGAUGAUCAGCCACACUGGGACUGAGACACGGCCCAGACUCCUACGGGAGGCAGCAGUGGGGAAUAUUGGACAAUGGGCGAAAGCCUGAUCCAGCAAUGCCGCGUGAGUGAUGAAGGCCUUAGGGUUGUAAAGCUCUUUUACCAGGGAUGAUAAUGACGGUACCUGGAGAAUAAGCUCCGGCUAACUCCGUGCCAGCAGCCGCGGUAAUACGGAGGGAGCUAGCGUUGUUCGGAAUUACUGGGCGUAAAGCGUACGUAGGCGGUUACUCAAGUCAGAGGUGAAAGCCCGGGGCUCAACCCCGGAACUGCCUUUGAAACUAGGUAGCUAGAGUCUUGGAGAGGUUAGUGGAAUUCCGAGUGUAGAGGUGAAAUUCGUAGA
rnacentral:rRNA from 1 species